AACACACACAGCUGGCCAUCCACCUCAUUUAAAAGAAAACAUGAUUCAUCAGGCCAGGUAACCUUGUUCUAUUUCUCCAUGGUCCAGCAUUAGGGUCAUAACAGGCACUGAAAGUUGGCUGACUUGGCCAGACAUAACAGCAUUGACUCAACCAAUGGCGUGAGUUUGGAACCAGACUAAUAUGUUUGUUCAAGCAAUUUCAGAGGAAGGGAAUGUGGGGAAAAUUAAAUGAAAUUGCACACUUUACCUUGGACGAACAGAAAGAGAUUGAAAAGUGUUCAAGUAAAACUACAUUAUGAUUAUUUUUUGGUGCAAUAAACCUUCAGGGCAAAAAUGACUAUAGAAGUGUAGGAUGCAGUAGCUCACUGUCUAUUUGAAGUGUGGUAGGAUCCUUUAUUUAGGUAGGUGGUACUUGUUAAAGUAAUAUCUGCAUGAAUGCCAGGACCCAAGGUUUCUCAGCAGAACAUGAUACUGCCUCCAUCAGGCUGCCUUUUUCCCAUUGUGCAGACUCCUGCCAUCUCUUACCCAAGUAAACAAUACACACUCAACUGGCCAUCCACCUGAUCUAAAAGAAAACUUCAUCAGACCAGGUAACCUUCUUCCAUUGCUCCAUGGUUCAGUUCAGAUGCUCACAUGAACAUUGUAAGUCCUUUCAGCACUGGACAGGGGUCAUCAGGGUUGCCUAAAGUUGCCUGACAAGGCCAGACAUAAUAAAAUUGACUCAACCAAUGGUGUGAGUUUGGGUCGAGGCAGUGUUUUUGUUGAGCAUCUUCAGACAGAAGAGGGAAUGUUGGGGAAUAGUUUCCGAUAGUGCACGCUUCACCUGGGAAGAAUGGAAAGAGAUUGAAAAAUAGUCAUGUAAAACUAUAUUAUGAAUUUUUUGGUGCAAUAAACCUUCAGGGUAAAAAUGACUAUAGAAGUGUUGAAGGGGCUGCAACUUUCUCCCUCUCUUUUUCAUUGUUUAUUUGAAGUGUGCAUUAUCCUGCUUAAAGAGCCCACUUACAUCAGGGAGCACUAUUGUCAUGAAGGGGUGUACGUGGUCUGUUACAAUCUUUAGAGAGAGGUGGCUAGAGGGGCCCCAUCAUUUAAAGGCCACAGCUCCAGAUGAGUGUGCAG
ensembl:lncRNA